UGCUUAACCAACUGAGCCCCCCAGGCACCCUGAAGACAUUUGUAUAAAGACUUAUGGACUCCAGUCAACUUGAAGAAGUUCUCCCUGGCCAAUUAUAGGACCAAUUAAACACCAACAAAUAAUUGCAAUUGACUGAACAAUGUCUUAUCUAUGAUGGUAGCAAAACAAAUCCUAACUGGUCACCAUUGGCAGGUGCUAGUAAGCCCAUCAUUUUGACAAUUGGUAAAUAGCAGUGCCUUAAAGCAACAAUGGUUUAUGUCUCUUAAGCAUUGGCUGAGGUCCUUGGCUCUGCAUAAUUGGCAGGGAACUGGUCUGAAGAAGGCACCAACUCUGCACUCCACUACUGCCAAGAAAACCCAGUUUUCAUUUCAGAAGCUACACUGCCCAAGCCCUCAGUCCAUAUCCUUGGGAUUCCAUCUCUGCAGGGGCCAAUGAGUCAUGAUGCAUAAGCCAAUCAACACAUGGCUUUCAUCUAGAUUGUUUGGAUUGAUUGAUUUCCCAGGGAUGGGCAUAUGAUCUAACUUGGGACAAAAGAGAUAACCCUAAGCCUCUGGUUGACACUGCUGAGGAAGACAGCCUUCCUUUCCAUUUUCUUAGAGCUACAAAGGUCUAAGCAUGGAAAUAUUGAGGGACACUACAUGGUGUUUGGAUUUCCCUUGAUUACAUGGCAUGACCUACCCCACGUUCGCCGGGUGUUGCUGUUGUUCAUCAGUAGUUCUGAGGUUUUAUUUGAAGUCAACUGAUGAGACCUGCUGCUGUUUGUGCCUGCUUCCAUCCUGUCUAUCUUCUCCGUGGACCCUAAUGCCUCCUCAUUCAUCUGCUCCUUUGGCAUCCACAAUGUGCACGUAAACUCAGGGCCAUCAACAGGGCUCUAAAUCCAAUGACAAGUGUUACUAAAAGAGUGAAGCAGAAGGAUAUUUGUCCAUCAAAAGUGGAGGUGGCAAUGUGACCAGGGAGGCAGAGAUUUGGCAUGAUGGGACCACCAAUCAAGAAUGCCAACAGCUACCAGAGGCAGGAAGAGGA